rnacentral:rRNA from 1 species
AUUGAACGCUGGCGGCAUGCUUUACACAUGCAAGUCGAACGGUAACGCGGGGGCAACCCUGGCGACGAGUGGCGAACGGGUGAGUAAUACAUCGGAACAUGUCCUGGAGUGGGGGAUAGCUCGGCGAAAGCCGGAUUAAUACCGCAUACGCUCUGAGGAGGAAAGCGGGGGAUCCGUAAGGACCUCGCGCUGCGGGAGUGGCCGAUGUCGGAUUAGCUAGUUGGGAGGUAAAGGCUCACCAAGGCGACGAUCCGUAGCUGGUCUGAGAGGAUGAUCAGCCACACUGGGACUGAGACACGGCCCAGACUCCUACGGGAGGCAG